AUUGAACGCUGGCGGCAGGCCUAACACAUGCAAGUCGAACGAGUGGCGGACGGGUGAGUAAUGUAUGGGAAACUGCCCGAUGGAGGGGGAUAACUACUGGAAACGGUAGCUAAUACCGCAUACCAUCGGAUGUGCCCAGAUGGGAUUAGCUAGUAGGUGGGGUAAAGGCUCACCUAGGCGACGAUCCCUAGCUGGUCUGAGAGGAUGACCGGCCACACUGGAACUGAGACACGGUCCAGCCCCCUACGGGGGGCAGCGUGGGGAAAUAUUGCACAAGGGGGGCAAGCCUGAGGCAGCCAUGCCGGGGGUAUGAAGAGGGCCUUCGGGUUAUAAAGUACUUUCAGCGGGGAGGCGUUACCCACAGAAGAAGCACGGGCUAACUCCGGGCCAGCAGCCGCGUUAAUA
rnacentral:rRNA from 1 species